AGUUGCUAGGAUUAGACCCGAAACCGAGUGAUCUAGCCAUGGGCAGGUUGAAGGUGAGGUAACACUUACUGGAGGACCGAACCGACUAAUGUUGAAAAAUUAGCGGAUGACUUGUGGCUAGGGGUGAAAGGCCAAUCAAACUCGGAGAUAGCUGGUUCUCCCCGAAAGCUAUUUAGGUAGCGCCUCGGACGAAUACUACUGGGGGUAGAGCACUGUUAAGGCUAGGGGGUCAUCCCGACUUACCAACCCUUUGCAAACUCCGAAUACCAGUAAGUACUAUCCGGGAGACACACGGCGGGUGCUAACGUCCGUCGUGAAGAGGGAAACAACCCAGACCGCCAGCUAAGGUCCCAAAGUUAUAGCUAAGUGGGAAACGAUGUGGGAAGGCUCAGACAGCCAGGAUGUUGGCUUAGAAGCAGCCAUCAUUUAAAGAAAGCGUAAUAGCUCACUGGUCGAGUCGGCCUGCGCGGAAGAUUUAACGGGGCUAAGCUAUACACCGAAGCUGCGGCAAUGAAGUUUACUUCAUUGGGUAGGGGAGCGUUCUGUAAGCCGUUGAAGGUGAGUUGUAAAGCUCGCUGGAGGUAUCAGAAGUGCGAAUGCUGACAUGAGUAACGAUAAAGGGAGUGAAAAACUCCCUCGCCGGAAGAUCAAGGGUUCCUGUCCAACGUUAAUCGGGGCAGGGUAAGUCGACCCCUAAGGCGAGGCCGAAAGGCGUAGUCGAUGGGAAACGGGUUAAUAUUCCCGUACUUCUUAUAAUUGCGAUGGAGGGACGGAGAAGGCUAGGUGAGCCUGGCGACGGUUGUCCAGGUCCAAGUAUGUAGGCUGAUGGUUUAGGCAAAUCCGGACCAUCUUAAGGCUGAGAUACGAUGUCGAGUCACUACGGUGAUGAAGUCAUUGAUGCCAUGCUUCCGGGAAAAGCUUCUAAGCUUCAGAUUAUAAGGAAUCGUACCCCAAACCGACACAGGUGAUCAGGUAGAGAAUACCAAGGCGCUUGAGAGAACUCGGGUGAAGGAACUAGGCAAAAUGGUACCGUAACUUCGGGAGAAGGUACGCUCCUAGCGGUGAUGAGACUUGCUCUCUAAGCUGCCGGGAGUCGCAGAUACCAGGUGGCUGCAACUGUUUAUUAAAAACACAGCACUGUGCAAAAUCGAAAGAUGACGUAUACGGUGUGACGCCUGCCCGGUGCCGGAAGGUUAAUUGAUGGGGUUAGCGGUAACGCGAAGCUCUUGAUCGAAGCCCCGGUAAACGGCGGCCGUAACUAUAACGGUCCUAAGGUAGCGAAAUUCCUUGUCGGGUAAGUUCCGACCUGCACGAAUGGCGUAAUGAUGGCCACGCUGUCUCCACCCGAGACUCAGUGAAAUUGAAAUCGCAGUGAAGAUGCUGCGUCCCCGCGGCUAGACGGAAAGACCCCGUGAACCUUUACUAUAGCUUGGCACUGAACAUUGACCCUACAUGUGUAGGAUAGGUGGGAGACUGUGAAAUAAUCGCGCUAGCGGUUAUGGAGUCGUCCUUGAAAUACCACCCUUGUAUGCUUGAUGUUCUAACGUCGACCCCUUAUCGGGGUUACGGACAGUGCCUGGUGGGUAGUUUGACUGGGGCGGUCUCCUCCCAAAGAGUAACGGAGGAGCACGAAGGUGGGCUAAUCACGGUCGGACAUCGUGAGGUUAGUGCAAUGGCAUAAGCCCGCUUGACUGCGAGA
rnacentral:rRNA from 1 species